rnacentral:tRNA from 1 species
UGGCGGGACAUUAAAUGGUUCACUCUGCAAAGGUGAAAUUUGGAUAUUACUAUAUCCCUCGUCUU